CGACGCUGCUGGGCGCGCGCUGGGCGCGGACUCUUGUCAGCACGGCCGCAGGUGGCCCCCGGGGUGCACCUCGCCGUCCACCUGUCCUCGCUCCGGUGCGGACGGGCCUCUCGGCCGAAUUCCACAAGUCCUUCAGCACCAGGAACCGCGCAGAGCUGCUGCCACGCGAAUUGCCCCGAAACUUCAGCCUCCACCUCGGCACUGUUUGGUACUUCAAGACUAUGAAAGAUUUUGUCUUCUCAGGAAAUGUGUUGUUCACCAUGGUGCUAGUAGAAUAAACCAGUUGUCUUAAAAAGUUGGACACAAGCUACAAAUCACAUAAACUCUACAAAAUAGCUGGACCGUGUGGAUGGUCACCUCUAGGAGUCUCAGUGUCACUCACAAGAUAUUGCAGACUUCCUUCUC